GGAGGGUGCAAGCGUUGUUCGGAAUUACUGGGCGUAAAGGGCGUGUAGGCGGACCAAGUAGUCGGGUGUGAAAGCCCUGGGCUCAACCCAGGAAGUGCGCCCGAAACCAUUGGUCUUGAGAUUCGGAGGGGAGCGGGGAAUUCCCAGUGUAGAGGUGAAAUUCGUAGAUAUUGGGAGGAACACCGGUGCCGAAGGGGCCGCUCUGGACGAAUACUGACGCUGAGACGCGAAAGCGUGGGUAGCAAACAGGAUUAGAUACCCUGGGUAGUCCACGCUGUAAACGAUGUGCACUAGGUGCUGGGGGUAUUGACCCCCCUCCAGUGCCGCCCGCUAACGCAUUAAGUGCACCGCCUGGGGAAGUACGGUCGCAAGGCUG
rnacentral:rRNA from 1 species